AGCGAACGCUGGCGGCAGGCCUAACACAUGCAAGUCGAACGAACCUUUCGGGGUUAGUGGCGGACGGGUGAGUAACACGUGGGAACGUGCCUUUAGGUUCGGAAUACCUCAGGGAAACUUGUGCUAAUACCGAAUGUGCCCUUCGGGGGAAAGAUUAAUCGCCUUUAGAGCGGCCCGCGUCUGAUUAGCUAGUUGGUUGAGGUAAUGGCUCACCAAGGCGACGAUCAGUAGCUGGUCUGAGAGGAUGAUCAGCCACAUUGGGACUGAGACACGGCCCAAACUCCUACGGGAGGCAGCAGUGGGGAAUCUUGCGCAAUGGGCGAAAGCCUGACGCAGCCAUGCCGCGUGAAUGAUGAAGGUCUUAGGAUUGUAAAAUUCUUUCACCGGGGACGAUAAUGACGGUACCCGGAGAAGAAGCCCCGGCUAACUUCGUG
rnacentral:rRNA from 1 species